AAACCGGAAAUCUUGUAUUUUUAGCAUUGCUUGUCGAAUUAGCACAGAAGCUAGCCAGCUAGCCUAUGGGGGCUAACACCUCUCCCACUUACAAAAUUUAAAUGAUAAACAAGCCGUUUUUAUCUCCCAGUUCUGCUGAACUAUUGUAAAUUGUUGUGAUUUUAGACGCAUUAUCAACGCAUCAAAAUGACCCGAGGAGGGACCAAGGAGGUUUAAAAAAUGUGAGAUAUUUGCCGGCUACACCAACAAACUGGUCGCUAACGGUGGCUGUUCGCUCUGGCAGCAGGGCAAGAGAGAGGAGGCUGGCUAAAGGCACCAUUAAGGAGGCUUCAGACCCGGCUGUCGAAUAUCCUCCAUCCGCUAUAACAGAG
rnacentral:lncRNA from 1 species